AUCUUUGGGCACUUGACAGUUGUUUGAUACCUGGAACUGAAACUCACUACCCCAUAAAAUAAAGGAAGAGGCACUACUAUAGAAUUGGCCUUUUGCCACGCCUCAAUUGCCAUGGUUAUAGGCGGAACCGUGGCAAAAGGUCAGUUACCACGGUUAAACAUGGAACCGUGGCUAAAAGAGAUAAUAUUUUAUUAUAUUUUUAGUGCAACCGUGACAAUAGGAAUUUUGAUAGGGAAACACCACAAUCUGGCUCGUACUCUUCAAUUUUUUUCCCUCCCACACACUCCAAAUUUUUUCUGAGGAACCCUAACCCUCAUCUAUUUCCUCUCUUCCUCUCCAUCUCGUUCUCACUCCAAGUAGCUAGUCCUCUUCUCCCUCUCGCUUCGCCGUUCGCCGCUCGCCGCCACGCCGUCACGCCAUCUCCGUUCCGUCACGCCGUCUCCGUUCCGCCACGCUCAGUUCCAUUCAAGCUCUCGGAGCAAUAAUAUCACCAAAAGCUACUCACAAAGUUUCUCCAAACAUUAGAGGAUCUCAUUUAAGCACAGAAACAUGACAACUAUUUCAACAGUUUGUACACCAUAAUGCAUGCAUUUAUCAUACUUCCAUCAAUCCAUGUUUACUCAUUUACACCUGAUUUAGCUAAAUUCACUAAUAUGGUUGGAGAUUUAUACCACCAGAUUCUCUAUUUUUUUUAUUGACAUCUACUGAAGUAAUUGCCAUCAAAUAUCAUAAUUUCAGUCGCCAUCUUGCCAUAAAUUUGAUUCAGCUGGAGGUGUUGUUUUUGCUGAUAAGUGUUGUUGUUCUGUUCUUCUUUCUGGCUUGGCUCUGGCGUGAAAUUUUUUGCUGCUGUUGGCGUUGAAAUUUUUCUUCCUUUGCUUACAACAGUGGUUCCUCAUUGCCUUAUUAAUAAGACAUUCAUAUUUUCUUUCUUGAUAAAAUCUUCUUUCUUCUUUUGCUUACAGCAAUGGUUCCUUAUUAACAUUGAUAACCUUGUGUGGAAAGUUGGUGCAAUCCAUUUUAAUGAGUACUGAGAUGAGUUGUUAUCUUGUUAUAGCUGAGAAUUCAUUCAUGAAUAUAGAUAGCUGAGUUAUAUAUUUGGACAAGCUUCAACUUCUUUAAAGUUCAUGAACUCAUGUUAAAAUUAGUUUUUUUUUAGGUGUUCAGGUUAUUUUUUCUUUAUGUUUUAAUUAGCUAUUAUUAUCAUUAGUUCAUUAGGGGGGAGAUGUUUGAUUCAGAGGAGAUGUACAAGUGAAGUGAAUAUACAAUGCUUAUAUUCACUUCAUUUUGUCAUCCAAGGGUAAUGUUGUUGAAUUGGUUUUUUCUCUCUUCACUUUAACUAUCAUGGAUUUUUUUUAGAACAUGUAUAACUUCAAAGACCUUUUCAGCAGAAGCUGACUAGAUCUUUAUGUAGGCAGAGGAGACUGGGAACCAAGUAUAUCUCUUCUUGGGAGACUGUCUCAAUUCAUUUUAGCAUUAUCCAGUCAAGAAUUUCUGGUAUAAUUGAUCUACAAGUUUGCCAUGUAGCCCCUUCAACUGAAUUUUUCUUUGUUUCAUUUAGUGUCAGCAUUAACCUGAUAUACUAUUUGGAUUUGAACUUCUCUAAAUUUUCUACAUCAUAUUAAUCUUUAUGUGGUCAGAUUGUCAUUUUAGCCGUUGAGUUAGUUAAUUUGGAGCAUAAGUGGGUUUUUUCUUUCCUAUACAUUUGAUAAAUAAAGGUAAUUUUUUUAGUCAAUCUUUUGUUUAAUGGGGGUAUGGGUAUCUAAAUGUUGUAUUCUACCGACAUUGAGAGCAGAUGCUAACCUUGAUUCUCGUAUAUUUGAUGUUUUGGCCCUUCUGGAGUGCUAUUUCGCACGGUAAGUUACUAUAAAUAUUGGUUCUGUAAACUGAUGAGGCAGCUUGUGUCCUUUACUUGGUGAUGUAUUACCCCUUGGCCAAUCUAAGUUGUAGUUUUAGUAUAUUUAGCAAAAACAGACCGAAACAGACCGUGGCAAUAGGCUGUUUUUUCCCAGUUUUAUGUUGCUGCUGGCAUUAUUUUGAUGUUGCUGAUGACCUUAUUUUGAUGUUGCUGAUGUGUUAUUUUGUGCUGCUCUGUGCCUUGAUUAUUGCUUUUGGCUCUGUUGAAUAGAUUUAUUCAAAGUUGUAGAUUGAAGAGCCAAACUGGUUUCCUCUGACUUAGAGGACCAAUCUGAUUCUAAAUAUCCAGGUAUGGACCGUAAAUGGAUGUUUGCUAAUCGCUUAUCCGAUGAAUAUGCUGCCGGGGUGAAAGAAAAAGUCAAUUUUCUUUGAGUUGCCAUAUUGGGAGUCACUUCAUGUGAGACAUUUUCUUGAUGUGAUGCAUAUUUAAUCAUGAGUUUUUCAUUCAAUUUGUUAGCGCAAUGAUGAUCUACCGUGCUAAUUGCAAUGACAAGAGGAUUACAUGGUCCAAAGCCAAAUGGAAUACGAUAAAGUGCCCUGCUCAAACUGAUGAAAUAGAUUGUGGGUACUAUGUACUAAGCUUUUUAAAGGAGAUAGUUGCGCACAAAAAAUCUACAAUUCCACAAGCGUACUUCUCUGAUUGUCAAUUUGGCUUCUACGAUGAGUAUCAACUAAAUGAAAUUAAAGAAGAGUGGGCUACUUAUGUGUUAAAGAAUUUUGCCUAGUGUGGACUGCCAAGCUUUGGUGAUUUCAAGUAGUGGCUGAUGAUGAGUCAACCUCAUUGCUGUUGGUUGUUGUUCCAGCUGCAUGUUUUGUCAUUAUUAAUUCAUGCUUUUAACUGAUGUAGCUUAUUUGGUUUAAGUUCUUGAGAGAGUGUGUUCUCAACAACAAUUAGUAUUUUUAGACAAAUUUGUUAAGUGACAUGGGUUUAGUAUUGUUUUGUUGUUGGCACAUUUGAGUAAUUAUCUUCUAGAAUAUGUUAAUGUUAUUAUGAACAUGAGAUUUUAUGUAAUUUAUUUCUUAAAAAAUGUACUGCAAUUUAUGCAUAGAA